ACCUAGGGUAGAGGUGCUGUAAUUAAGAGUAUUUGCUAAGAGCCGGCAGGCAAAGACGAGCAAAGAAAGGAAUUAUGGCCGAAGAAGAUAAAUUGGCAAAUUUAUCUUCUGGCUUUGCACAGAAUAUGUGUAAGGCUGUCACGUUAAGUUUACGUGGAGAGCUACAAGGUAC
rnacentral:ncRNA from 2 species